CCUACGGGAGGCAGCAGUGAGGAAUAUUGGUCAAUGAACGCAAGUCUGAACCAGCCAAGUAGCGUGCAGGAUGACGGCCCUCCGGGUUGUAAACUGCUUUUAGUUGGGAAUAAAAGUGGGCUAGUAAGCCCCGUCUUGUAUGUACCAUCAGAAAAAGGACCGGCUAAUUCCGUGCCAGCAGCCGCGGUAAUACGGAAGGUCCGGGCGUUAUCCGGUAUUAUUGGGUUUAAAGGGAGCGUAGGCCGGCUUUUAAGUCAUCUGUGAAAGUCCGCGGCUCAACCGUGGAAUUGCAGUUGAAACUGGAGGACUUGAGUGAGCACAGGGAUGCCGGAAUUCAUGGUGUAGCGGUGAAAUGCUUAGAUAUCAUGAAGAACUCCGAUCGCGAAGGCAAGUGUCCGGGGUGCAACUGACGCUGAGGCUCGAAAGUGCGGGUAUCAAACAGGAUUAGAUACCCGGGUAGUC
rnacentral:rRNA from 1 species